AACAUAUGCAGUUUCAGGUAUAUUAUUCCACUACAGUCACAGAAGUUAUCGUCUCUUUUGUUCAUAGCUAAUAGACUUCUCAAAAUUCUAUAGUGAUU
rnacentral:sRNA from 1 species